UACGUAGAGGGCCAGCGUUGUCCGGAAUUACUGGGUGUAAAGGGCGUGUAGGCGGGACUGCAAGUCAGAUGUGAAAUUCCCAGGCUCAACCUGGGGGCUGCAUCUGAAACUGUGGUUCUUGAGUGCUGGAGAGGAAAGCGGAAUUCCUAGUGUAGCGGUGAAAUGCGUAGAUAUUAGGAGGAACACCAGUGGCGAAGGCGGCUUUCUGGACAGUAACUGACGCUGAGGCUCGAAAGCGUGGGGAGCAAACAGG
rnacentral:rRNA from 1 species